rnacentral:tRNA from 47 species
UGGGGAUAGAGGGACUUGAACCCUCACGAUUUCUAAAGUCGACGGAUU